UACAUCUUACAGAAUGCAGUAGAUUUAAAAUUGAGAUUAGGUUGCAGUAAGGAGACGAGUUCUAGUCCUAAUUAGUAGGACCACUCCAGGGUCCUAAUCCUGGGAAGCUGUAAAUGUUACUUUAUGUGGAAAAAGGGUCUUUGCAGAUGGGAUUAAAGUAAGGAUCCUAAAGUGGAAAGAUUGUCCUGAACUAUAUAGGUGGGCCCUUAUCUCAGCGUCAAUGCAUUCUCCUAAGACAGAGAUGUGACCCCCACAGAGAAGAGGACAUGAAGUUGGAGACAAAGAUCAGAAUGAUACAACCACCAGCCCAGGAACGCCUGUGGCCACCAGAAAGUAGAAGAGAGGAAUAAAAUUCAUUUGGAUUACAUAAACUAAGAGAGAGAACUUGCACCUGGAUAUAUUUCUUGAUGGUUGCUUUCCUUGUCCCACAUUCACUUUGGAAUAAAGAAGAUACAAUCCUUCUCAAGAAAGAGGUCGUGCCUCCAAGGUUGCAAGUGUUUCUAGAGGAUAAUAGAUUCCACCGACACAUAUGGCAAAGAGAAUGGGAGCUAAGGAAGAUGACACCCUUUCCUGCUUGAGUAGGCUUCACCCCACUCAGCACAGCCCUCAAGGGGCUCCUAGUCUCAAGCAUGAACAAAAGUGUAAGACUGAAGUCCAGCAUGCAGUUACUUUUCUAAAGUAAAUAAGUCCUGGAUAAAUAUACUCUAGCCUCAUAACAGAUCUCCCAAAGAAGUUAAUACAUAGCAGCAUUAUUCAAUUCAAUGCUAUUAACAUUCAUUUUCUUUCUUCUAUGUACCCUGAUUUGUGUUAAUCUCCAAGGAAAGACAAUAACUGGAAUAAGCUAACAAUUCAGAAUUCUUUAUAUGCAGUGACUUUUUUUACUGUGAUAGUUGCUUAUCAUUUAUAUCUAGCAACUUAUGUGCCUCUUCUGUGUGGGAGUUGUGCAUAUUUCCUUCAGCAUAAGGAGACCUCUAACAUUAAUCUAUUAUAUUUAUUAUAUUUAAUAGGCUUAACGUUAUAAGGACACUAAAAGGGAACUCUAGUUACUCUACUAAAAACCACCCUGUGAGGAAAGGGAGCCCAAAUUCCUUUGCUUUGAUUUUUAUAUUGGCAGAAAUAUUUUUUUUUUUUUUUUU